rnacentral:sRNA from 2 species
AAAAAAGCUUUCUAGGGUUCCGUUUAAAGAAGUAAUAUCAUCUUUAAAGCCUGGUCCAAGAGAAAGAGUGCAACCGUAACGGUUGCAUACACGGAAGGAUAAAAGCCUGGGAGAU